ensembl:snoRNA
AGCGCUGUAUGGUAUCUGCAGCCAGCUGGUUGAUUAGCUGGUUUGUUCAAAAAUCAGUGCUAGACAAACUCAACAUCUGGCAUCGUUGGUCUCCAUGCUGCUUGUGCUUGGAGCCCCGGUAUAUUUGUUGAAACAUUG